GCAGCUCAGUGGUGGGGCAUCUACUCUAUGUGAAGAAGGUCCCAGGUUCGAUCCCUGGCAUUUCCA